rfam:Cephalotus follicularis DNA, scaffold: scaffold825, isolate: St1.
ACAACAUGAUGGGGACAUUUUCUGAUGAGAUCCUUUAAUUGUUCCCAUGACUCAUGGAACUGCUCACCGUCUUGCUGCGAGAAGCUAGUGAGAGCUCAUCUUGUCU